UAAGACAUCGGAACACAAAUC
ensembl:piRNA 21ur-5413 ncRNA